GGAGUUAGCCGGUGCUUCUUCUGCGAGUAACGUCACAGAUGUAAGGUAUUAACUUACACCCUUUCCUCCUCGCUGAAAGUGCUUUACAACCCGAAGGCCUUCUUCACACACGCGGCAUGGCUGCAUCAGGGUUUUCCCCCAUUGUGCAAUAUUCCCCACUGCUGCCUCCCGUAGGAGUCUGGGCCGUGUCUCAGUCCCAGUGUGGCUGAUCAUCCUCUCAGACCAGCUAGGGAUCGUCGCCUAGGUGAGCCUUUACCUCACCUACUAGCUAAUCCCACCUGGGCUUAUCCAUCAGCGCAAGGCCCGAAGGUCCCCUGCUUUCCCCCGUAGGGCGUAUGCGGUAUUAGCAGUCGUUUCCAACUGUUAUCCCCCACAAAUGGGCAAAUUCCCAGGCAUUACUCACCCGUCCGCCGCUCGUCAUCUUCAAAAGCAAGCUUUUGAAAUGUUACCGCUCGACUUGCAUGUGUUAGGCCUGCCGCCAGCGUUCAAUCUGAGCCAUAAUCAAACUCUGA
rnacentral:rRNA from 1 species